UUAAUUGAAGCCAAAAAUAAAGGCAUAUUAUUGUUAAUAAUACAAUUGAAAUAAAUUUUUUCCAAUUAAA
rnacentral:tRNA from 1 species